rnacentral:rRNA from 1 species
CCCUUAGAUGUCCUGGGCCGCACGCGCGUUACACUGAUGCAUUCAACGAGCUUAUAACCUUGGCCGAGAGGCCUGGGCAAUCUUGUUAACGUGCAUCGUGAUAGGGAUAGAUUAUUGAAAUUAUUAAUCUUGAACGAGGAAUUCCUAGUAAACGCAGAUCAUCAAUCUGCAUUGAUUACGUCCCUGCCCUUUGUACACACCGCCCGUCGCACCUACCGAUUGGAUGGUCCGGUGAAGCCUCGGGAUUGUGGUUCUUGCCGCUUUAUUGUGGCGUGACCGCGAGAACUUGUCUAAACCUUAUCAUCUAGAGGAAGGUGAAGUCUUAACA